GGGGGUGUAGCUCAGUGGUAGAACAUGUGCCUGGCAUGCAUAAGGGCCCUGGGUUCCAUCCCCA
rnacentral:tRNA from 1 species